rnacentral:rRNA from 1 species
GACGAACGCUGGCGGCGUGCUUAACACAUGCAAGUCGAAUGGAAAGGCCCUGCUUUUGUGGGGUGCUCGAGUGGCGAACGGGUGAGUAACACGUGAGUAACCUGCCCUUGACUUUGGGAUAACUUCAGGAAACUGGGGCUAAUACCGGAUAGGAGCUCCUGCUGCAUGGUGGGGGUUGGAAAGUUUCGGCGGUUGGGGAUGGACUCGCGGCUUAUCAGCUUGUUGGUGGGGUAGUGGCUUACCAAGGCUUUGACGGGUAGCCGGCCUGAGAGGGUGACCGGCCACAUUGGGACUGAGAUACGGCCCAGACUCCUACGGGAGGCAACAGUGGGGAAUAUUGCACAAUGGGCGGAAGCCUGAUGCAGCAACGCCGCGUGCGGGAUGACGGCCUUCGGGUUGUAAACCGCUUUCGCCUGUGACGAAGCGUGAGUGACGGUAAUGGGUAAAGAAGCACCGGCUAACUACGU